rnacentral:rRNA from 1 species
GAUUGAACGCUGGCGGCGUGGAUGAGGCAUGCAAGUCGAACGUGAAAGUCGCCCUUCGGGGUGGCAAGUAAAGUGGCGAAUGGGUGAGUAACACGUGGGUAACCUACCUUCUAGCGGGGGAUAAGGGUCGAAAGCCCGGUAAUACCGCAUGUGGUCCCUAGGUCGCAUGGCCUGGGGAAGAAAGCGGGGGAUCUUCGGACCUCGCGCUAGAAGAUGGGCCCGCGCCCGAUUAGCUUGUUGGUGGGGUAAAAGCCUACCAAGGCUGCGAUCGGUAGCUGGUUUGAGAGGAUGGUCAGCCACACUGGGACUGAGAUACGGCCCAGACUCCUACGGGAGGCAGCAGUCUAGAAGAUUCGGCAAUGGGGGAAACCCUGACCGAGCGACGCCGCGUGCGGGAUGAAGCUUUUCGGAGUGUAAACUGCUUUCGCUGGAGAUGAAAGCUGGAGCAGUUAAUAGCUGGUUCAGUUGACAGUAUCCAGUAAAGAAGCACCGGCUAACUCCGUGCCAGCAGCCGCGGUAAUACGGGGGGUGCGAGCGUUAAUCGGAUUUAUUGGGCGUAAAGGGGGCCUAGGCGGCUAAGUAAGUCAGGGGUGAAAUCUGCACGGCUCACCCGGCAAAUUGCCCUUGAUACUGCUUGGCUCGAGUUCGGACGAGGGAAGCGGAAUUCCGUGUGUAGCGGUGAAAUGCGUAGAUAUACGGAGGAACACCAGUGGCGAAGGCGGCUUCCUGGGCCGACACUGACGCUGAAGCCCGAAAGCGUGGGGAGCGAACGGGAUUAGAUACCCCGGUAGUCCACGCCCUAAACGUUGCGCACUAGGUGUUGGGAGUAUCGACCCUCCCAGUGCCGUAGUUAACGCAUUAAGUGCGCCGCCUGGGGAGUACGGUCGCAAGACUGAAACUCAAAGAAAUUGACGGAGGCCCGCACAAGCGGUGGAUCAUGCGGUUUAAUUCGAUGCAACGCGAAGAACCUUACCAGGGCUUGACAUCACCGAAAGGUACCAUGCCUCUUUGGANACGUAGAGGCUUAGGGAGACAGGUGUUGCAUGGCUGUCGUCAGCUCGUGUCGUGAGAUGUUGGGUUAAGUCCCGCAACGAG